AUGCAGCCAAUGACAGACACAUCUUCUUGGCCCUUCCUUAGGUCCACCUGCAGCUUGGGAAGCUCAUCACCUGCAGGCAUCAGAGCCCUCUGGAUCAGAGCCUCUGUCCCUCCUCUCUGCAGGCUGUUGCAGGUGGAAGGAACCUGGUAUGUGGUACGCUGGGCAGGAGACAUGCUGAUUCCUGAUGAGACAAAGACCCAUGCAAUACCUCCCUUCAUGUUGGCCAGAAACAAACGCAAUAAGUUGGAGUUUAGGACCAACAUUAUGGUGGAAACACACCAUCCAUAUCUACUUUGUGCCGGGGAAGAAGUUCAGCAUUGCCUUCUUCAGUGGCUAUAUGAACUACAUGUAUUACAAGGUUGUCAUCCUGUUUGGUGCGUUCCAGCCCUUUCUGAGCUUGCGGGAGUGGGUGUGGGUGCCUGGGGUCCAGGCUUGAUUCCAGUGCAUUGCCUUCCUGUCCAGCUCCCUGUGUUUCCCACCCAGAGACCACUGCUGGGAUUCCUGGGCUUGUCGUGGGAGAGGAAUGGGUGAAGGAUUGACCUCUCUCAUCCUCGGCUCUCAGGGUACCAAUCCUGAUGCCCAAAGCCUAUGUCCACUCAUGACUCGCCAGGCCUGCAGGUCCCCGUUUCUCUCCUGAGUCAGCUGCUGGGGUGGAUGUGCUCCAGCCAAGGCAUCUGUUUGGGACAUCUUUGUUCUGAGGACCUUGGGCGAUGUCUGGAGACAUGUGCUGUUGUCAUGACGAAGGGUCCUGGCAUCCGAGGGUGGAGACUGGACUCUGCUUAAGUCUCCCAUGGAAAGUACCCUGUCCCAAAGGUCACUAGGGGCCAGGAGGAAGCCCUGGCCCCACAAUAUUGGCCCAGUCUUAUCGCCCCACCCCUUCUAAUCUCCACCAGAGGCCCCCAGGGCUUCUCCUCCAAGGCUCCUUCUCAACAUGGAGCCUCACUGGUGUCUCUGUUACCUGGUCUGACAUCCUCUGGUCCCCACUUCUAUCCCCAACAUGCUGACCCCUGCUGACUGCCUGUACCCUCAGCUUUCUGGGAGGCUCUGGGCCCAUGAGUUCCCAGAGGUCACCUAGACCAGUCACAGCUGGAGUCACAUGGUUUGGCCUGGAGCAAGGAGACAUGGACAGAACCCCUCUGCCCACUGCCACCUUCAGGUCAUGACUGUGGACCUCUGAGGUCCUCAGUACUACACAGACCCUCCCACAUGUCCCUGAGUCACUUCCCAUCUCCCUCUCCUGCGUGGAAUUUCAUGUGUCCCUCACCCCACUGAGCCACUUGGAUUCCAGGAGGGACAAAUUCCACACCAAACAGGCCCAGUACAGGGUGAUGUGAGCAUUACACAGAGGAUACUGAGGUCUUGCUCAAGAAGAGCUUGGGUAGUGAUCUGGGGGCAGGGUCAUUGACAGGUGGACCUUAUGAUGCCCUUGAGGCAUUAAGCCUAGGGUGGCCCCUUACAGAGGGGCUGAAACAGGGCAUCCCAGGGCCCAGAAUCUUCAGGUACAGGCAGUUCUGUAUCUGCUCUCUGUGCUCAUGGCCCCAGGCUGGUGAGAACUCUUUCCUGUGGGCCUUCAGAUGAGGGAGCAACUUGAGGGGCUGUCAGCCUCAUGGGGGCUACCCCACUGAGAAAACACAUGAUGCCUGCCUGAGGACACCAGCCUAGCUGGACUCCUCCCCAGCUGGUUUGGGAAGGGGCAACUCUGCCCACUGCUGUGAUCUGUCAGUGCAUGGAGGUCUGCUGGGAGCUGUAAGCAUCUAGCCUGGAGUCAGGGGCUCCCAGGGGGUGCCCGCUCACAGGACCUGGGAGCCCUGCUUCCCACCACCCACUUGCACACUCUCUGGCCUGCAGGCCAAGAGGUACGGAUGACUCAGAGGCCCUGAGGCUCUUUGAGGAGUUUGUGUGGAGCAAAGAGAUGCAAAAAGAGGAAAUAAUCAAACCUACAAUUUCUGGUAAUGAGAAAGGCUUUCGCUUGACUUCCUCUUCCCUUUUCCAUGAUUUUGGCCCCUUGUACUUUCAGCAUUUUUUUUUUCUUGGGGUAAAUGCUGACUGUGUGAACAUCACCCAGACCCCCUUGGUCUCCUUCUUGGCCUGCAGACCUCUGCCAGGUGUCCUGAGGGUCUUAGUGCAUGGAGGGAGGGCUGCAGAGACAGCCUGGGAAUGAUGAGCUGGGGACUCUGCCACCUUCUGUCACCUGGAGGCAGCACUUCCUUUGGCAGGAGAGACCAGCGCCCUGGGCCCACACCUUCCUUCUUCUUGCUGUCAAUAAAGCCAGUCAAUGUUCCUUGGCU
rnacentral:lncRNA from 1 species